AUUGAACGCUGGCGGCAUGCCUAACACAUGCAAGUCGCGCGGGCAGUAGCAAUACUGUUAGCGGCGGACGGGUGAGGAACACAUAGGAAUCUGCCUCAGAGCGGGGGAUAGCCCAGGGAAACUUGGAGUAAUACCGCAUGAUGUCGCAAGACCAAAGCUGGGGACCGCAAGGCCUAGCACUCUGAGAGGAGCCUAUGUCUGAUUAGCUAGUUGGUAGGGUAAAGGCCUACCAAGGCGACGAUCAGUAACUGGUCUGAGAGGACGAUCAGUCACACCGGAACUGAGACACGGUCCGGACUCCUACGGGAGGCAGCAGUGGGGAAUAUUGGACAAUGGGCGCAAGCCUGAUCCAGCAAUGCCGCGUGUGUGAAGAAGGCCUUCGGGUUGUAAAGCACUUUAAGCAGGGAAGAAAAACUCGGUCUAAUACAUCGAGUCUUGACGGUACCUGAAGAAUAAGCACCGGCUAACUCUGUGCCAGCAGCCGCGGUAACAC
rnacentral:rRNA from 1 species